AGCUUUGCGCAGUGGCAGUAUCGUAGCCAAUGAGGUUUAUCCGAGGCGCUAUUAUUGCUAAUUAAAUCCCUCCUAUAAACCUAGCUUCUUUAACAUUCUUGCUAGGGCCUAGUUUCUAAACCCUCAGUUGUUUUGAG